rnacentral:rRNA from 1 species
GAUGAACGCUGGCGGCGUGCCUAAUACAUGCAAGUCGAGCGAACGGACGAGAAGCUUGCUUCUCUGAUGUUAGCGGCGGACGGGUGAGUAACACGUGGAUAACCUACCUAUAAGACUGGGAUAACUUCGGGAAACCGGAGCUAAUACCGGAUAAUAUUUUGAACCGCAUGGUUCAAAAGUGAAAGACGGUCUUGCUGUCACUUAUAGAUGGAUCCGCGCUGCAUUAGCUAGUUGGUAAGGUAACGGCUUACCAAGGCAACGAUGCAUAGCCGACCUGAGAGGGGUAUCGGCCACCCGGGGGCGACAGCCCGCUCCGGGCCCCACGGGGGGCCCGGAGUGCGGAAUCUUCCCGCAGUGGGGAACACUGCACGGUGGACCGCCGCUUGAUGGAGGAAGUCCCCGGGCUCGAAAACCUCUUUUUUUUGGUAAACACAUUUGGUAUAUUACGUUGCCACAUUUACGCUGUCCCGUACAGAAGCCCCCCCUCACUCCCUG